GGACGUUGUAGGGAGCGGCCA
rnacentral:miRNA from 1 species